rfam:Aedes albopictus isolate Foshan contig11167, whole genome shotgun sequence.
UGCCCAGCAACUCCUGUCCCUCCCUCCUCGUGGUACCGACCGGAAAUUACGAGCAACCUUAGGGAAGAUCGGGUAACCAACCCCGGUGAGAACUUUGGUCGUAGGCUGACAGGGAAGG